AUGCACUCUUUUUUCUAUCUUAUGGCCCAAAUGUCCUUAAUUUUGGCCCAGUUGGUUUCUUUUAUCUAUUCUUUUAGAAGUCAAUCUUAAUGCCAUUUAAUUAGCAUGAAACUAUUCUUGUACAAAGUUUUGAUAUUUUUAUAUUCCACGUCUUUGUUGACAAAAUGAAAAUAAAAUGACAUUUUGAAUGUUACAUUUUUAGACAAGUUUGUUUUGUUUUUGUUUGUAUGGUCUAUUGCUAGUUUUAUGUUUUAGAAUAAAAACUGUCAUGAAGUAAUUAAGAAUCCAGUAUAAACAGACUUUAAACAUACAGAAAAUAUCGCCAAAGUCUAAUACAAUAUGGCAGGACAAUUGCAAAAGGUAGAAUUGGGCAUAAAUGAAAAUUAUAAUUUCAUCAAUAUGAGGGUUUUUUGAUAACAAAAAUCAAGCAAAACAUUAGGGCUUAUUGAAAAAAAAUUUUAACAAAUUAAACAAAAACAUAAAACUAAAAAUGCUGUUUAGCCUUAGGCCAAUAUAUUAGAAUAUGUAUCCUCUUUUUGGGAUCCAUCAAUUGAAGAAAACUUAAAGAAACAGACACAAAACAGAGAUUUAUAACAAACGAAUAUUCAUAUUUGACUAGAAUAAAACCAUUAGUAAAAUCACUUUAAGGAGAUUUAAAACACUUAAACCCUAAUUUACAAAUAUAAAACCAAACUUAAUACAAUCUUAUUCCAUACGCUUGGACUAAUUCAUACAAGUACUCCUUCUUCCCUAGUUGCUCUUGGAGCAUGGAAUGGGUUGCCAAAAAAACCAAAGGCUAAGAGUUUAUGUCACUGAUUAACAUGUAUGACUAUAUUGAAACCUGAAAUGUGUAGGACGUAAUUGUCUUCUCUUUUGAAGCAACUUUUUAAAUUUUUU